CCCCAAUUUUAAAAAUGCUAGGCACAAUAUAUUAAAAUGUUUAACACAAUAUAUUAAAAUAAAAUGCUUCAUAUCUGUUUUUACCACAAUAUCCAUAUUUAAAAAAAACUUCCCUUCACAUAUUGAAUCAGAUAUAAUGACCCUCCCAAGAGAAAUAAAGUGUUCAGUAAAAACAUCUGUAGGUAUCCCCUAACUAGUGGCUCUUAAGAGCCUGUGUCGCUCACCUUGGUCUAUGUGCAUAUUCAACAAAAGAUGGAUUAAUGACAAAAUUGUGUUUUGGUGAUGGUGAUGUGUUUGUAGAUCUUACUUUACUAAACAUUCUUGCUACUUACAAUUAUCUUCACUAUAAUGAACCUGGCCCAUUAGUAAAAGAGGAAAAUAUUUUGUUAAAAAUUUACAAAAAUUUACAAAAUUUAUGAAAAUUGUUAAAAAUUGACUGUAAAGGGCUGUAACUCCUUGAGGGGUCAACUGACCAUUUUUGUCAUGCUUAUUUAUUUGUAGAUCUUACUUUGCUGAACAUUAUUGCUGUUUACAGUUUAUCUCUAUCUACAAUAAUAUUCAAGAUAAUAACCAAAAACGGCAAAAUUUCUUUAAAAAUUACCAAUUCAGGGGCAGCAACCCAACAACCGAUUGUCCAAUUUGUCUGAAAAUUUCUGGGCAGCUAGAUCGUGACUUAAUACACAAUUUAACCCCUGUUAGAUUUGCUCUAAAUGCUUCGGUUUCAGAGUUAUAAGCCAAAAUCUACAUUUUACCCUCUAUGUUCUAUUUUUAGCCAUGGCGGCCAUCUUGGUUGGUUGGCCGGGUCACGCCACACAUUUUUUAAACUAGAUACCCCAAUGAUGACUGUGGCCAAGUUUGGUUAAAUUUGGCCCAGUAGUUUCAGAGGAGAAGAUUUAUGUAAAAGUUAACGACGACGGACGACGGACGAUGGACGACGACGACGGACGCCAAGUGAUGAGAAAAGUUCACUUGGCCUUUUAGGCCAGGUGAGCUAAAAAAGGAAUAUAAGAACCUCAAACUGGUCCGGGCAAGAUACCAUGUCUUUUUUUUUGCCAGGCGAUAUCCUUUUUCAGACUUUUGGUGAACAAUUACCAUUAUAUUUUUUGGGAUUCCCUUUCCUUUUUUACCCUGUGGAAUUGCUUUCGCUAAAAUUUUCUAAUUGUCAAUCCUUAAAUUUUCUAUACAUUUAGAUGUGUAAGUUCUCUCUGUUUCAAUUUCUUGUUCAUUUGAACAAAAAAAAAAAAAAAAAAAAAAAAAAAAACAGAUGUUCAUAAUCUUCUUCACCAUUUGUUUUACAUGUACCACAAAUAACAUGCUCCUUGGAUUUACAAAUAGAACAUGAAUAUUUAUUUAACGCUGGCUUUUAAUAAACAAACACUACAUGUAAAGUUAUCGCUAAAAAGAGGGAAUCUUAAUAUUAUAAAUUUUGAAGUCUUCAACUUUAUCUCAAAACCCUGUGUUGGUUAUAUCUUUAAGAUCAUCCUCUGUGUUUAAAAGCAAAAUUAUUUCGUUUGGCAAGGAAUAUGAAAGUAAAAAAAUCAUAAUUUGUCUAUAUUUUUUUUAUCAAACAAAGGAUCCUUAAAUUAUUCAUAUUCCCUGAAAUUGUAUUAGGGAAUUUGUAGAAUAAUAGUUAAAGUUUUCAGUGAUUAUGUAAAAUCACUGGUCAUUUUCAGGGAUUAUAUAUAAUUACUAAUGAUUUUAGUGAUUCU
rnacentral:lncRNA from 1 species